rnacentral:rRNA from 1 species
UACGUAGGGUGCAAGCGUUAAUCGGAAUUACUGGGCGUAAAGAGUGCGUAGGCGGCUAUGUAAGACAGAUGUGAAAUCCCUGGGCUUAACCUAGGAACUGCAUUUGUGACUGCAUGGCUAGAGUGUGGUAGAGGGAGAUGGAAUUCCGCAUGUAGCAGUGAAAUGCGCAGAUAUCAGGAAGAACACCAAUGGCGAAGGCAGCUCUCUGGGACGGUACUGACGCUGAGACGCGAAAGCGUGGGGAGCGAGCAGG